CCGCGUCUAAAUUUUCUUGCGUGAAUUCAUUCGCUCCUAUCAAUUUGUGUAUCACGCGUGAAUUCAUUCUCCCGCGUCUUCAUUUACGCUGCAUCGAUUCUUAUUCCUAAACCUAACCCUAACUAUUCAUUUUCAUUUACGGCUGCAUCGAUUCAACUUCGGUGUAUCACCUACAACGAUUCAUCUCUCAUGUGUAGCAUCUACAAUGAUUUCUUAGUAGAGUGUUGGAUUUGCUAGCUACGAAGGCUCCUUAAAUUUUGGCGAAGAACACCUAUCUCUGUAACAGUGAAUGUACAAUCGCCGACGACCUAGUUCCGUUGUUUAAUAAGUAUGGUAAGGUCGCCGACAUCUUCAUCCCCAAAUAUCAAAGAAUUGGUGAGUCGAUGGGUUUCGCUUUUGUGCGUUACAAGUAUGCUAAUGAAGCUUCCAAGGAAGAAUGGUUGAUGCCCCUGAAAUAACUGUCCAGUUUGCAAAAUAUGGCCUGAGUGGAUUUAGAAAGGAAGGAUUAUUGAAACAUUCCGAGAUCAAAGACCUCAAGGAGCUAGAGUCACGGGAGGAGAAG